UGUAUUUUAGUAUUAGAUGUACAUAAGCAUUUGAGGCUUAAAGAAUCAGUUUAAAUCUGUUAAAUGUAA
rnacentral:tRNA from 1 species